AUGUCCCGCCCGUCCCGCGCGCACCCGACGCGCCCGACGAACCCGACCACACACGCCGUGGCUUAUUCCAACACACACCCCCUAAGCCACGGCCUAGAGGAGUCCGUCGUCGUCGACGUUGGCACCGGCCAAGAGAGCCUGCUCCGCCGCCGGUCCUUUCCGCAGCUGCGGGCACUCGCGCCGGAAGUGCCCGUGCUCCCCGCACUUGUAGCAGCGCCUGCGCCUGUUGCCGCCGCUCCCCGACGCCACGCUGCGCCCGUCGUCGUCGUCCCGAGCACCGCCGUGUCGACGCUCCCGCGCUGCCCACUGCGCCGCCGUCAUGAGCAGCUGCUCACCCCCGCGCUCGCCACCGUCUUGUCCACGGCGCCGAACCCGCUCGUCGAACGCACGCAGCCGCCCGAGCGCUUCGUCGAACGCCAUCGUCGUCACGUCGUGGAACUGCUCGAUGCCGGCAACGACGGGGAAGAGGCGAUCCGGCACCGUAUCCAGCAACUUCUUAACAAGUGCUGUGUCGCCCAGCGUCUCCCCGAGGUUGGCAUACCUCGCCGCCAUCGCCGCGAGCCUCCCGCCGUACACAUCGAGCUCCUCGCCGUCCGCCAUCUUCAUCCGGUCGAAUUCGCCGCGCAGCGUCCCCAGCCUCGCCGCACGGACCCGAUCGGCGCCGACGAACCUCACCUUCAGGGAGUCCCAUACCUCCCUGGCGGUGAGCUUCGUCGACACCUGCAGCAGCACAUCCUCCGGCAACGCCCCGAGAAGCAACGCACGCGCCAUCUUGUCCUUCCGCGCGUUCACCGCCGCGUCGCCCGGCGCCACCGCCUCCCAUACGGUGUGGACGUCGAGGAUCGCCUGCGCCUUGAUGGCCCAGACCGUGUAGUUGUCCGCGGUCAGCAUCGGCAUCGCCAUCGUCGCCGAUCCGCCCGCGCCACCGCCGUGUGGGACGAGCGCCAUGGUCGCCGGUGA
rnacentral:rRNA from 1 species